CACGUAGGGCGCGAGCGUUGUCCGGAAUUAUUGGGCGUAAAGAGCUCGUAGGCGGCCUGUUGCGUCCGCUGUGAAAGCCCGGGGCUUAACCCCGGGUCGGCAGUGGAUACGGGCAGGCUAGAGGUAGGUAGGGGAGAAUGGGAAUUCCCGGUGUAGCGGUGGAAAUGCGCAGAUAUCGGGAGGAACACCGGUGGCGAAGGCGGUUCUCUGGGCCUUACCUGACGCUGAGGAGCGAAAGCGUUGGGGAGCGAACAGG
rnacentral:rRNA from 1 species